UACGUAGGGUGCAAGCGUUAAUCGGAAUUACUGGGGCGUAAAGCGUGCGCAGGCGGUUAUGUAAGACAGUUGUGAAAUCCCCGGGCUCAACCUGGGAACUGCAUCUGUGACUGCAUAGCUAGAGUACGGUAGAGGGGGAUGGAAUUCCGCGUGUAGCAGUGAAAUGCGUAGAUAUGCGGAGGAACACCGAUGGCGAAGGCAAUCCCCCUGGACCUGUACUGACGCUCAUGCACGAAAGCGUGGGGGAGCAAACAGGG
rnacentral:rRNA from 1 species